rnacentral:rRNA from 1 species
ACCUACGGGAGGCAGCAGUAAGGAAUAUUGGACAAUGGCCGCAAGGCUGAUCCAGCCAUCCAGCGUGCAGGAAGAAGGCCCUAUGGGUUGUAAACUGCUUUUAUCAGGGAAGAAACCUCUGGAUUCACUCCGGAGCUGACGGUACCUGAAGAAUAAGCACCGGCUAACUCCGUGCCAGCAGCCGCGGUAAUACGGAGGGUGCGAGCGUUAUCCGGAAUUACUGGGUUUAAAGGGUGCGUAGGCGGCUUUGUAAGUCAGGAGUGAAAGUUUGCAGCUCAACUGUAAAAUUGCUUUUGAUACUGCGAGGCUAGAAUUAGGAUGAGGUCAGCGGAAUGUGGCAUGUAGCGGUGAAAUGCAUAGAUAUGCCAUAGAACACCAAUUGCGAAGGCAGCUGGCUAGACCUGGAUUGACGCUGAGGCACGAAAGCGUGGGGAGCGAACAGGAUUAGAUACCCUGGUAGC